rnacentral:sRNA from 12 species
GCUCUGCACUUUCCAAAUGGCGGUGCAGGCCGAUCACUAUUUAGGGUGGUCAGCUUGGUUGUCCUGCUUCGGCGAACACACAUCUGGGUUUGGUAGAACGCAGAGUACCCACGAGCGAAAUGCGGAGCCAAC